rnacentral:piRNA from 1 species
UGUCUAAUCUGAAAUGUGGAUCACUCG